GAAAUGCGAAAAGUAGUGUGAAUUGCAGAAUUCAGUGAAUCAUCGAAUCUUUGAACGCACAUUGCGCCCCUUGGUAUUCCAUGGGGCAUGCCUGUUCGAGCGUCAUUUGUACCUUCAAGCUCUGCUUGGUGUUGGGUGUUUGUCCCGCUUUUUUGUGCGGACUCGCCUCAAAGCAAUUGGCAGCCGGCGUACUAGCCUGGGAGCGCAGCACAUUUUGCGCGUCUCAACUGGAACGCUUGCGUCCAUGAAGCCUAAAUUUUUGCUCUUGACCUCGGAUCAGGUAGGGAUACCCGCUGAACUUAA
rnacentral:misc_RNA from 1 species